AACGAACGCUGGCGGCAUGCCUAACACAUGCAAGUCGAACGAGACCUUCGGGUCUAGUGGCGCACGGGUGCGUAACGCGUGGGAAUCUGCCCUUGGGUUCGGAAUAACAGUUAGAAAUGACUGCUAAUACCGGAUAAUGACGUAAGUCCAAAGAUUUAUCGCCCAAGGAUGAGCCCGCGUAGGAUUAGCUUGUUGGUGAGGUAAAGGCUCACCAAGGCGACGAUCCUUAGCUGGUCUGAGAGGAUGAUCAGCCACACUGGGACUGAGACACGGCCCAGACUCCUACGGGAGGCAGCAGUGGGGAAUAUUGGACAAUGGGCGAAAGCCUGAUCCAGCAAUGCCGCGUGAGUGAUGAAGGCCUUAGGGUUGUAAAGCUCUUUUACCCGGGAUGAUAAUGACAGUACCGGGAGAAUAAGCCCCGGCUAACUCCGUGCCAGCCGCCGCCGUAACAC
rnacentral:rRNA from 1 species